AAGCUUGUAUAUACCAGACCAGGAGAUAAAGACUGAGAAAAUGCUAGCCAGAAGCAGAAAAGGCAUUAUUGCCCUCGAUUGUACUACAUGCUCUUUCUUGGAUUGUUUGUUUUCAUUAAUUAACUCGUUGGCUGCCUCCAGUCUAAAAAUUUGGUCUCGUUGCCAAUUUAGUUUUGGCACCAUACUUUCCUGCCAGAAGCCAUUCUAUAGUGAUCUGUUGGAGGAGGUUGAUCCAAAAUAUUCAAAUUCGCCGGCCGAUUUGCACGAAAUGUGGUAAUCCCUUUUUGGAGAUCGAGAGCCUUGCUGUGCUUUUGCAAAUGUUACAGUUCUGUUGAUCGUUCGACAUUCCAAG